rnacentral:tRNA from 1 species
GCGGCAAUAGCUCAGUGGUAGAGCCCUGCUUCGUGUGCCGGAAGACCCGGGUUCGAUUCCCGGCUGCUUCC